UACGUAGGGGGCAAGCGUUGUCCGGAUUCAUUGGGCGUAAAGAGCGUGUAGGCGGCCAGGUAGGUCGGUUGUGAAAACUGGAGGCUCAACCUUCAGAGGUCGACCGAAACCAUCUGGCUAGAGUCCGGGAGAGGAGAGUGGAAUUCCUGGUGUAGCGGUGAAAUGCGCAGAUAUCAGGAAGAACACCCGUGGCGAAAGCGGCUCUCUGGAACGGUACUGACGCUGAGACGCGAAAGCGUGGGGAGCGAACAGA
rnacentral:rRNA from 1 species